rnacentral:tRNA from 1 species
GUAUUGGUGACUCAGUGGUAGAAUUCUCGUCUACCACGCAGGAAACCCGGGCUCAAUUCCUGGCCAGUGCU